GAUGAACGCUGGCGGCGUGCCUAAUACAUGCAAGUCGAGCGAACAGACGAGGAGCUUGCUCCUCUGACGUUAGCGGCGGACGGGUGAGUAACACGUGGAUAACCUACCUAUAAGACUGGGAUAACUUCGGGAAACCGGAGCUAAUACCGGAUAACAUGUUGAACCGCAUGGUUCAACAGUGAAAGACGGUCUUGCUGUCACUUAUAGAUGGAUCCGCGCCGCAUUAGCUAGUUGGUAAGGUAACGGCUUACCAAGGCAACGAUGCGUAGCCGACCUGAGAGGGUGAUCGGCCAAACGGGAAGUGAGCCACGGUCCAGACUCCUACGGGAGGCAGAAGUGGGGAAUCUUCGAAAAUGGGCGAAAGCCGGACGCAGCAACGCCGGGUGAGGGAAGAAGGUCUUCGGAUAGUAAAACUCUUUUAUUGGGGAAGAAAAAAUGUAAAAUAAACUAGGCCCGUUUUGACGUUACUUAAAAAAAAAGCACCGGCUAACUACGUG
rnacentral:rRNA from 1 species